rnacentral:rRNA from 1 species
CCUACGAGAGGCAGCAGUGGGGAAUAUUGCACAAUGGGGGAAACCCUGAUGCAGCGACGCCGCGUGAAGGAAGAAGUAUUUCGGUAUGUACACUUCUAUCAGCAGGGAAGAAAAUGACGGUACCUGAAUAAGAAGCCCCGGCUAACUACGUGCCAGCAGCCGCGGUAAUACGUAGGGGGCAAGCGUUAUCCGGAUUUACUGGGUGUAAAGGGAGCGUAGGCGGUUUAGCAAGUCAGAAGUGAAAGCCCGGGGCUCAACUCCGGGACUGCUUGUGAAACUGUUGAACUAGAGUGCAGGAGAGGGAAGUGGAAUUCCUAGUGUAGCGGUGAAAUGCGUAGAUAUUAGGAGGAACACCAGUGGCGAAGGCGGCUUACUGGACUGUAAAUGACGCUGAGGCUCGAAAGCGUGGGGAGCAAACAGGAUUAGAUACCCGUGUAGUC